rnacentral:lncRNA from 1 species
GGCUGUUUCGGGCGCGGGCCCCGCUUUUCCGCACCCUGCUCCGGCCUCGACUACGGCGAGCCUGAGCGCGGCGGCGGCCCACGCGCAGCGACAGGGAGAGAUGAGCAGCUCCAGCAAUAAGAGGGCUCCGACCACAGCAACCCAGAGGCUGAAGCAGGACUACCUUCGCAUUAAGAAAGACCCGGUGCCUUACAUCUGUGCCGAGCCCCUCCCUUCGAAUAUUCUCGAGUGGUAAGGCUCCGCGCCACUGAUCACCCCGCACUGACUGUCGCUGCC